GAUGAACGCUGGCGGCGUGCCUAAUACAUGCAAGUCGAGCGAACAGACGCGGAGCUUGCUCCUCUGACGUUAGCGGAGGACGGGUGAGUAACGCGUGGAUACCCUACCUAUAAGACGGGGAAAACUUCGGGAAACCGGAGAUAAUACCGGAGAAUAUAUUGAACCGCAUGGGUCGAUAGUGAGAGACGGUGUUGCUGUCACUUAUAGAUGGUUCCGCGCCGCAUUAGCUGGUUGUUAAGUUCACGGCUUACCAAGGCAACGAUGCGUAGCCGACCUGAGAGGCUGAUCGGCCACACUGGAACUUGGCCACGGUCCAGAGUCCUACGGGAGGCAGCAGUAGGGAAUCGUCCGCAAAGGGCGAAAGCCUGACGGAGCAACGCCGCGCGAGUGAUGAAGGUCUUCGGAGCGUAAAACUGGGUUACUAGGGAAGAACAAAUGUGUAAUUAACUAUGGACGUCUUGACGGUACUUAAUCAGAAAGCCCCGGCUAACUACGUG
rnacentral:rRNA from 1 species